rnacentral:rRNA from 1 species
GAUGAACGCUAGCUAUAGGCUUAACACAUGCAAGUCGAGGGGAAACGGCAGAGAGUGCUUGCACACUUUGGACGUCGACCGGCGCACGGGUGAGUAACGCGUAUCCAACCUGCCCUUUACUUGGGGAUAACCCGUUGAAAGACGGACUAAUACCCAAUGAUAUUCAUUGAUGACAUCUGAUUUGAAUUAAAGAUUUAUCGGUAUAGGAUGGGGAUGCGUCUGAUUAGCUUGUUGGUGAGGUAACGGCUCACCAAGGCAACGAUCAGUAGGGGUUCUGAGAGGAAGGUCCCCCACAUUGGAACUGAGACACGGUCCAAACUCCUACGGGAGGCAGCAGUGAGGAAUAUUGGUCAAUGGACGAGAGUCUGAACCAGCCAAGUAGCGUGCAGGAUGACGGCCCUAUGGGUUGUAAACUGCUUUUGUUUGGGAAUAAUCGACAUUACGUGUAAUGUUUUGCAUGUACCAUUCGAAUAAGGACCGGCUAAUUCCGUGCCAGCAGCCGCGGUAAUACGGAAGGUCCAGGCGUUAUCCGGAUUUAUUGGGUUUAAAGGGAGUGUAGGCGGUUGGUUAAGCGUGUUGUGAAAUGUAGAUGCUCAACAUCUGACUUGCAGCGCGAACUGGCUGACUUGAGUACACACAACGUAGGCGGAAUUCAUGGUGUAGCGGUGAAAUGCUUAGAUAUCAUGAAGAACUCCGAUUGCGAAGGCAGCUUACGGGAGUGUUACUGACGCUUAAGCUCGAAGGUGCGGGUAUCGAACAGG